CAUGUCAGUGUGUUUGGGGGCAGUCUGGGUUCUACAUGCAGCAUCAAGUUCCCACCCAGCUGCCUGAUGGAAAAUGAGCGGAUCUCAACUAGUGUAGCAAAGUGCAGAUGACAACCUGUUCCCCUGGAGGCGACACCUGCUCCCUGGAGGUGCAGCUAAGUGAUCAGGAAGUGUUCAGCAUCAGUCUGGUGCUGAGCAGGGAACCGUUGAUCGUCAGAAGCAUGAGACCCCUCCCUGUACACAGCUGGGCAGCCUCCACCCGAACACCACCCGCAGAGCAGCAGCACUGUAACAUCAUUCAUGGCUGAAUCUAUAUUUUGUAAGAAAAAUAAAUAACAAAAAACAAAGCCGCCUGUCUCCCUGAUCCUCCUGUAGGAUCUUAUUGCACGACAACAAACACAUUAAAAGUGUGUCGCAUCUGGGUUUUCUUCCUCAGUUUGGAUUUGGACAGAUUUAGUGUUUGUUCCCUCCUGGUUAUUUAUUGUGAACAUCACGAUUCUUUGAUUAAAAAAAUUAAAAUCUUGAAAAACAA